UUUUUCGUUGUGUAAGGAGGGUAUCUAAGAUCAGCGUCCCCGGAAAAGCUUCGGUAAAGAACUCCUUUCUUAUGGCUAAAUGUCUCAUACGAGAAUUUCCCAUGGUAAGCCCCAAUCCCGCUCUCACCGACCCCUCCAAAUGGUAAAUCUUUUUGUGUUACCUGCAGAGAAAACAUACCAUCUUUAGUGAGAGCUUAGCAUAAUGGUAAACAGAACAUCAGUUUUAUAUGAAAAAAGACUUAGUUACGUGUAAAACGGUGUCAUUGAUGCUAAUUCCUCCUGCAGACACGCCCUGCACGAAUUGUUCCUGCAACUCUUUGUUGUUUGUAAAGAGAUACGCUGCUAAUGGCUUUGGCUUUGAACGUAUAACCUGGAAACCGUCUUCAAUCUUUGCAACAGUAACUACAGGAAGUAAUGGUCC
rnacentral:lncRNA from 1 species